rfam:Triticum aestivum genome assembly, contig: Triticum_aestivum_CS42_TGACv1_scaffold_210569_3AS
UUUGUACUCUCUCCGUUCCGAAUUACUUGUCUUGAAUUUGUCUAGAUACGGAUGUAUCUAGACUCAUUUUAGUGCUAAAUACCUCCUACCUAGACAAAUCUAAGACAAGUAAUUCGGAACAGAGCGAGUAAUUU